UCAAUGAGCAGUUAUGGGCCCGAGCCUCUGCUCCGCAAUUGCGUCCUCACUCUUCCAAAACUUCAGAAUCACUCGCUUCUCUUCGACCGUACGGGCGUUUGGCAUUUUGAAAGUGAUUUUAAUGCAUUAAAAGCAUAAAUUUUGCAUCCAUUUUGUUUCAAAUAGCUGUUAAUUAGGGUUCUCCGAGGUAUGUCAAAGGUGUUAUCUGUAUUUUUCACUGAUUAGUUGGAAAAAUUUUCCGCUUGUGUGGGUGACUCUAUCUGCUUAUGAUUAUGCUAUAAUACUGGCUUUAUUGGAUCUCUUACCUGUUUAAAUGACACAUUCAGGUGAGGAUUCUUAUAAAGCGUCAAAAAGAUGGAGGAGACUAUGAAGCAAUUUCAGCAAAAGCUUGAUUGAGCUUGAAACCGAUGCUGAGCACGUUCUUUUAGCCCGGCAUCAGGUUACUCAUGCCCUUCAACUUUAUUCUGUCUCUCAAAUGAAAGUCGGAUAUGUUUGUUUGCUUGCAAAAUUUGAGGGAAAAGAAAAUUAUCCAUUUCGGUUAUAUGAUGCCCCAUCACAUUUGCCCUGUGUGAGAAAGUAAACCACAGGAGGAUACAUUAACAGAAGUUUGUGAGAAUAGAAAACAAACACAUUUGGGAAAUCUAUCACAAACUCAACUCGACUAAGCUUUUAUCCUAAAAGUUUGGAAAAUCUAAGUUUUUUGUUUAAUUAAAGCUGUUGCAGACUUGCAGUUACUUUGCAUGGUCAAAUUUAUUAAAAUUAAGGUGGCAUAUUGCUAUGUAUAUGUUGCUUUUG
rnacentral:misc_RNA from 1 species